rnacentral:lncRNA from 1 species
UUUUUUUUGUACUGAGAAUUGGAGCCAGGAUCUUGUGCGUGCUAGGGGAGCACUCUACCACUGAACCACAGUUCCAGCUCUGAAAUUUUGAGAAAGGGUCUUGUUAGUUUGCCCUGGCUGGCCUCGAACUUGCUGUCCUCCCGCCUCAGCCUUCUGGCUAGCUAGGAUUGCAGGCGUUUGCCAUUCCGCUGGCUCCGAAAUCGUAUUCCCCGCCUGGGAGUGGGGGGAGAGACUUAGGUUCCUGUCUUCUGCAGACCACCCCUCCAUUCUGAUCCUGGCUACCCAGGAAAACAAACACAAUAAGUCGCAUUGUUGGUGCGGCCCGUCCUGACCCACCGCAGUGUCUGCGCGCCGAGGGGUCGCGAGUCUCUGAACCUGCUUCUUCUCAGAUUUGACAUUUUGGAC